GGGUGCGAUCAUACCAGCACUAAUGCACCGGAUCCCAUCAGAACUCCGCAAUUAAGCGUGUUUGGGCGAGAGUAGUACUUGGAUGGGUGACCUCUUGGGAAGUCCUCGUGUUGCACCCCUC
rnacentral:rRNA from 1 species